UUUAAAUGCCACGUGUAUUAAUAUCACUACCAAUCCAGAUAUUGAUAUUCGUAGAUAAGGGCUCUCAUAUCAUACAUACCCCAAUAUAAUUCAUAUAAGGGAUUAUUUUGUAGACUCCCCUCAUUUCCAAAUUAUAUAUAACUAACUACCAAGUGGAUUACACUCUAGGGGAAAUCCCCUCAUUUCGAAAAUAUUUUGACAUACUCCCCUGGGCUACCCUGAAGUUCCUAUAAUACCCUUCUAAAAUCAGUUUUAAACCCUAGCCACUCACGGUCUCUCUCUUCUUCUCUCCCAAAUUCAAAAUUCCGCCUCCACAAACCUCCCACCAGCGAAAUUGUUUUACGGAGCCAUAACUCUCCGGUGGUCGGAAUUCGAUGGUUUAACUACCGUUGGAUUCCUCUCGUCGAGCUCUUUCUUUUGGUGAUGAUUUCAUUCAGUUUCGAACGCUGAUCUGUUUCUGCAAUUUUUUUUCAUUCGAGAACGGUGGUCUUGCCGGAGUUUUAUUUUGUGUUCCACCCGUCGAAAUUUGACGGGUCACCUACCGUUGGAUUCCUCUCGUCGGGAUCUAUAUUUUGAUGGUAAUUUCGUUUAUUUUUAUGUUUUCAGAUUUAUUUCUAUAUUUUUUGCAUCUGUGGCCGCGCGGAACCAUUGGUGGUUAUUAGCGGUGUCUAGGGUUUUGGUAGGAGGCGAGGGGGGUGAGGAGUCACUGUCUGUUUGAUUUAAAAUUUGUAGCAUUUCCUAGCAAUAACCUCUUUCUCUAUCUCCCGAUCUCUUAAUGUUUGGUGAUUUUUGAGUGUUUUGAUGUUUUUCUUCAAAUUUGUUGAUUUGCACUAAAGUAAUUUCUUUUUGUUUUGAUUUUGCAAUUGCAGCUUAAUGAAGGCCAUUAAUCCUUUCCUUGAAGGUGUCAAUUUUUUGUUUUUUUAAGUUACAUCAGAUCUGUUCAACAGACUGUAUACAUUACUAUAGUAACAUGUAGUUACAUAUGCGUAUAUUUAUGUAUUUUCGAUUUGUAUUUUAUUGGUUCUGAUGUGAUUUAUAAUAAAAAUAUUUAAAUUUGUAAAUGUUUGUUGGGG
rnacentral:lncRNA from 1 species